AACGUGGAACGGAGAGAAGAUUUAUAGAUUUCAAUUAUCUACUGUCGAUCACAAUUACAAUGACGAGACAGAAUUCCGCUUACGGCUUCAGUUAAGUGACAAUGUGGAUCAUUCCAUUUGGCAGGGUUUUAGACUAGAUAACAUCUCGGUUCACGUCGAAAAUUUCAUUUCCUAUCGUAACAAGCUAUGUUACUCCCACAUCGAUCCACAUAUGAAAACUGCUGACGGAGUUUAUUAUGAACAACAAAGAGUUGGUGACUACAUGUUAUAUCACAACACGUUUUAUGAUAUAGAGGUU